rnacentral:snRNA from 1 species
UUGCCUUGGCAGCAAAUAUACUAGAAUUGGAUCGAUACAGAGAAGAUUAAUUAGCAUGGCCCCCGAGCAAGGAUGACAUGCAUAUUCUUGAAGCAUUUCAUAUUUUG